GCCAGGUACACUAGUGCAUUCCUGUAGUUCCAGCUACUUGGGAGGCUGAGGUAGGAAGAUCACUUGAACCCAGUGUUCUAGACUAUAGUACGCUAUGCUGAUUGGGUAUCUGCACUAAGUUCAGCAUCAGUAUGGUUACCUCCUGGGAGUGGGGGGACCACCAGGUUGCCUAAGGAAGGGUGAACUGAGCCAGAUCAGAAAAAGAGCAGGUUAAAACUCCAGUGCUGAUCAGUAGUGGGAUCAUGCCUGUGAAUAGCCACUGCACUCAGGCGUGGACAAUAUAGUGAGACCCUGCCUCU
rnacentral:SRP_RNA from 1 species